ACCUGGUUUCAUGGGUGCAGCCUGUUUGUAUCAGAUGUAUCGAGAGCCAGUGUGGUGUAGUGGUUAAGAGCGGUAGUCUCGUAAUCUGGGGAACCGGGUUCGCGUCUCCGCUCCUCCACAUGCAGCUGCUGGGUGACCUUGGGCCAGUCACACUUCUUUGCAGUCUCUCAGCCCCACUCACUUCACAGAGUGUUUGUUGUGGGGGAGGAAGGAAAGGAGAAUGUUAGCCGCUUUGAGACUCCUGAAGGGGAGUGACAGGCAGGAUAUCAAAUCCAAACUCUUCUUCUUCUUCUUCUUACAUGGUCAGCAGGAGAGAACAUCCUUCAUUCUGUGGAUAGUCUGCUCCUUCUGGCAUGGUAGAGAAAUUCAUCUAGCUAACUCCCAUAACAAAUAAAACCCUAGCAGGCUGUCUGGCUAUACAGGAGUCAGAAUCCAACUUGAAGUGUAAGCAGUGUCCAGGCACCAAGGACUGAGCAAAAACAGGUCUAUGAUGACCCUUUGGCUCAAAUUACACAUGCAUUGUACCACACUGACUACAAAGAAAUCUUCCCCUGCCACGGCCAACUUAACAGGCAGCAAGGGAGCUGCUUCAGGCAGCUAAGUCUGGGAGUCAUGAAGGGCAACAAAUUGUUGUUUAAUUUGUUAUCGUUGCUGUCUUUUUACCACAGGGGAAUUCCACACUCCCUUCCAUGGUGCAAGCUUUUGUGAAUUCCCAGCCACUUCAUCAGAUGAAUGGAGCAGAGCUGCAGAUCUGAUGCAUGAUAUAGGAAAGAAAGGGUGUUGAGGCUGGACUGUGAGAUCUAGUAAGUGUCCAUUUACUUGCUGCACAGAAUAUGUGGCCUCACAAAGAAGAAAUUGACUGUGGCCUCUGCCAACGCAAUACAACACAACACACUCCUCUGCUUCUCCAGAUAUCUGAAAGGGGUAAUGUAAUAGUUGUGUUCAGGUCUUAACUGAAAAUGGAUGCAUCCCCACAUGUGGAUGCUGAAAUUGUUGGUGGAGGCACAGGUACACACACAAGCCCAGCUGUCCCAAUGUCCUUGUGCAUGCCAUGCCCCUCCGCUGAGUCCUUGACCUUCCCCAAUUUCAGGAAAGAGUCUCUAGGGGGCUUCUAACUGCAUUCACCUGAGUGCAAAUAGACUCCCUUGCACGGUCAGGGUGUCUGAUUUAUCACGGUCCCUGAUUGUGUGGAGAUUUCUGCCUGCAAUCAGGAAGAAGCCCCCUGAAGACUUCUCCUGAGCCACACAAGGAGGAUUGGGGAUGGGGGGACAUGAUGUGUGCAGGGACAUUGGGGGCGGGACUUGCAUGCACACCCCUUCCUGCAUUCAUCCUUCCAUCCUGCACCUAAUGUUUCUCUUCACCACAUGAUUAGAGGUGGUUGAUUCCCCACGUGGUUAUAGUGCUUGUGUCCAUGAUGGUUGCAAAGCAUGUAAGCCCCUGCCACGUGCAACCUUACAACAAAGCACAACAGCAAAUGAGGUGUGCUGAGAGUGUUCCUUUAAGAAAAAAUGUGCAGUGAUCACGAGGAGUCUUAAGAUUAAAAUCCGAAGCACAUUUCCUUGGGAGUAAGCCCAGCUAAAUGCAAUGGUAAUUGCAUUCAAGUCAACAUACAGAGAAUCAGGCUGCACUUCUAAAAUGUCUGUUUCUAAGGUUUCUGAUUUAAAGCAUUGAUGGCAUUUAAGCUUGAAGCUUGUAAUUAAUAUUCCAGAUUUUUCAUUCUAAAAAAAAAAUGCUGUGGCUAACAAAGAUCUGGUGAUUUUUCAUCUGUAUCAAGAAGUGCCAGUUCUCUUAAAAAAGUGCAGGGCUUGCAAGUUUAAAGAUGAUAAGUGAGCCUGUAAAAUAUAAUUUUUUAAAGCAGCUUGUAUUCUUUGAAAUAUAAUCGCCGUGGUCUUCUGCUAGAGUAAAUCAAACACCCUACCGCCAGCAAAUUUUGGUAGGGACUACCGGCUUCUAAUGGUCAACUUUCUUUUUCCUGAGAAAUAGCAAGCAAGAUAAUGCUUUGCCCAUGAAAGCUGAGCCUAUUAAGAAGAAAAAGAAGCCACUAAAUGGAAUCUAAGAUGCAGAGAUUGCAAGUAGCUUGUCAAAAGUAAAAUGAAGUUAAGGUGAUACUUAUAAUACAGGAUAUGAAUCCUGGAAAAAAAGUUAAGAGACUGUGCAUUUUGGAAAUCAUAAGCGCUAAAUUGUUAUGGUUCAUAAAUGAGACUUUAAUUGUGCACUGUACUUGUGAGUCCAGCUGAUUGGGGAUAACACCAGGUAGUAGUCUGGGACUGGGAGAUACUUGAAGGUCACACAGAAUAACCUUCUGCACUGUGGGAAGGUUUCUAAUAAUUUAUCCUCAUAACAUCCCUCUGAAGUAAGUUAGACUGAGAGAGAGAGAGUGACUUGUUUGAGGCAGUACUGAGGAGAGAAAAUUAUGCUGUGUGAGCAAAAGCACUGCCCCUUUAUGAAAUGCCACUUGCUGGGAAGGCUAGCCCCAUCUGAGCAUGAGAAAAUAGCCUGUACAUUCUCCCCCAGAUAAAACUCUUAGCUUUUAAUAGGGCCUCUUUACUUGUGUCAAUCUCAGAUUUCCCCCAGAGAAGCCGAGAAGUGAAAGAAUAAAGAAAUCUAGCCCAUUAUGUACAAUCCUGAAAAGAAGUUGUGGAAAUCACAACAGUGGCGCUCUUAAAGAAAGCAAUGUUUUACAUUAGUUUGUAGUUGCUGGCCCAUGCAGUAAGGAAGAGGUAUAUACUCAAGAAUCCACCAGGAAUGUCCAAAUAGUUCAUGUCAUUCUUAUUGCCUAAACAUAUACCUUUUCCACAGGAGUGCUUGGAGCUUAAAAAAAUGCCACUUCAUUAAAAACUAUAUCACAGUUGCGUGAAUGAGUGGGGUUGUUGUUGUUGUUGUUUUGCAACUUAUUUGACAAAUAAAAGAAUGAGAAACCUGUGACUUUCCAGUUCUGGUUGGACUACAAUUCCCAUCAUCCUUCAACAUUGGCUAUGCUGUGUGAGGCCAGUGGGAGUUGGAGUCCAACAACAUCCGAAAGGCUACAGGUUAGUCACCCCUGCUCUGCUCAGUCCUUGGGGUUGGACCUCAAAGGCCCAACAAUGCUGAAGAGCACAAUUAUUUCCAUACUAGGCUAAAUGAGAUAUUUACUCAGCUGCAAAGGCAUCUCCCAAAGUGGUAAAUGCCCCUCACAGUUAACAAAGCAAUUUCUUUAUCAUUCUAAUCUGUGUGCCUAACUAGAAAAUAGGCAAUAGUCACGAUCUUGGCAGACAAGUUUCUGAAAAUCUUCAGAACAGUAUAUUCCAGCAAUCAGGUAAACUUGGCUAUUGCCUUGCUUGUAUUCUAUGGACACCUGAUCCAAUCAAUAUCCACUAAGAGCACUCCAGAAAAUGGAUUUCAUAUCUAAAACUGUAUUAUGCUAUCACUUAUUAUUCCAUCUUUCUUUAAUAUUACAACAUUUUCAACCCCCUCUAUAAAAAUAGCUGAACUUUUAUCAUAGUGGAACCACCCUGAGAUCUACAGAUGAAGAGCAGUAUACAAAUUUUAAUAAUAAAUAAUAACAACAAUAAUAAUAGCAGAAGAAAUGCUUGACAAAUUCUUUCAUAACAGGAAGGUAGUUUAAAAAAAAAUCAUUCUGGGUGUUAUAUUAUUGCUGCUAUUCCAUUUUACAUGGCAGAACAGAAAUAAUAGAAAACAGCCACAAUUGGAUUGGAGAUUCUAGGGUGUUAAUACAGAGAAAACUGGACAAUAUUAAAUAAUUUGGGGGAGCAGAGAUUGGUUUAAAUAAGUAGCAUUCCAGCGAACUCAAAGGAACUAUGCUGAUAUUCAUCAGCUGUGACUCUGCCCCAUGGUUUUUCUGUGGUCUGUGCUUUUGGCAAGCUGUUAGCUCUGUGUCCAGCAGCUGGCCAGUGAAAGAAUCUCAUCAGCAGCAGAUGAACAAUGAUGCCAUUGGCACAUAUCCUCCUGUGCAUUAGGAAUGAAGGAUGCCCAGCAACAGGAUGCUAGAGCAGCUGGUCAGACAAAAGACAUUGUUCCGUAUUCCAGCAGCUAAUUGAGCAUUCUGAUAAUAUAUACUCCGGAGAGGGGGACAAUCUCUCUUGCUCACAACAAUUCUAAAUAGGAGUGGGAUGUGUCAGAACACAUUCGGAGCAAAUGUUGUUGAAGCACAUUGCACUAUACAGAAGUCAUUGAGCAAGUCCAGAAACACGUUGAGCAAAGCAAAGGGAUUUUUGUGUUGAGCCUUUUGUGAACACUCAGGAUCUAGCCAGUGUGUGUGUGUGUGUGCGUGUUCAGCAUCUGAGAAUCUGACUGUGUGCCCAGAGUUAAUUAGGGCAAUGGGGGGGGGGAUAAUCUAAAAUGUGCAGGUGGCAGGUGGUUUUUCUCUAGCCGCAGAGUACAUCAUCAAAAGGGGCACUUUUCAGGUUUAAACAUUCUACCCCGAGGGCUUAUUGCUCCACAUUGUUCAUUAUAAUGUUUUCACCAUUAGGAACAUAUUUUCUGAACACAACUAAGAGGUGUGUGUAUGGGGCAAAUAGUUAUUCCAGUAGGUUGUGGAAAUGCUCAGUAAAGAUUUUUGAAAGUAAAAAAUGACAAUGAAAUUUGUGAAAACAAUAAAAUCUGCAUCUACAUGGAACGCUUUGCCUAUUCAAAUGGCUUACGUCUCCAGAUUAGCAGAACAUUUUAAAACUUUUUAUUGUAUUUACGUAUAUGACUACUUUUUAUAGCUGUUUUCCUCUUUAUCCAAGCCCAUUCCACAAUCCCCAGGAUGAUAACAAAUUUUGCCUAAUGUUUUCCACCUCUGAAAUCUAUGGCACAUACUGAUAACAUAUUAUCCAUAGUUGCAUUGCAGAGCCCCCUCAUUCUUUUUUCAAUUAUACUGCCUACUAGUUGAAAGUACCUGGCUUUGUGCAGGUACACACAGAGUUUCAUAAAUUGAUAGAGUAAUUUGUUAGUUUUAGUGCACAGAGCCCUAACCUGACCUGGGGAAUAUCUGACCCAGAUCUGGCACCAAAUCAAUUGGGGUGGGGCUAAUGUUUAAUUAGCUUUUCUAUAAAAACCCUGUAAGGUCUCCGGAGGUCUCAGGGUGGUUCACAAACAAGACCACAACAUAUAAAAUCAAACCAAAAACAAUAAACCAAUAACCCCCCCCCAAAAGAACCACAUUUUAGAAGGAUGUUGGAUGUCAAUAAGAUCAACCAAAGGCUUGGUUAAAAAGGAAUGUUUUUGCCUGGUGCCUAAAAGUGUAUAAUGAAGGUGCCAGGCGAACUUCCCUGGGGAGAGCAUUCCAUAGUUCGGGAGCCACUGCAGAGAAGGCAUUCUCGUGUUGCCACCUUCCGGACCUCUCAAGGAGACAGCACACGGAAGAUGAUCUCAGGGUCCAGGUAGGUUAAUAUGGGAAGAGGCCGUCCUUGAAGUAUUGCAGUCCUGAGCAGUUUAAGGCUUUCUAGGUUAAAAGCAGCACUUUGAAUUGGGCCCAGAAACUAAUUGGUAGCCACUGCAGUUGGACUCAGAUCAAUGCUCU